rnacentral:rRNA from 1 species
UACGGGAGGCAGCAGUGGGGAAUAUUGCACAAUGGGCGAAAGCCUGAUGCAGCUAUGCCGCGUGUAUGAAGAAGGCCUUAGGGUUGUAAAGUACUUUCAUCGGGGAGGAAAAAACAAAACUAAUAAUUUUAUUUCUUGACGUUACCCGAAAAAGAAGCACCGGCUAACUCCGUGCCAGCAGCCGCGGUAAUACGGAGGGUGCUAGCGUUAAUCAGAAUUACUGGGCGUAAAGAGCACGUAGGUGGUUUUUUUAAGUCAGAUGUGAAAUCCCCUGGGCUUAACCUGGAACUGCAUUUUUGAAACUGAAAUACUAGAGUAUCGUAGAGGGAGGUAGAAUUCUAGGUGUAGCGGUGAAAUGCGUAGAUAUCUGGAGGAAUACCUGUGGCGAAAGCGGCCUCCUAAACGAAUACUGACACUGAGGUGCGAAAGCGUGGGGAGCAAACAGGGAUUAGAUACC